rnacentral:rRNA from 1 species
CAUGGGCGCAGCCUGAUGCAGCGACGCCGCGUGCGGGAUGACGGCCUUCNGGUUGUAAACCGCUUUUGAUCGGGAGCAAGCCUUCGGGUGAGUGUACCUUUCGAAUAAGCACCGGCUAACUACGUGCCAGCAGCCGCGGUAAUACGUAGGGUGCAAGCGUUAUCCGGAAUUAUUGGGCGUAAAGGGCUCGUAGGCGGUUCGUCGCGUCCGGUGUGAAAGUCCAUCGCUUAACGGUGGAUCUGCGCCGGGUACGGGCGGGCUGGAGUGCGGUAGGGGAGACUGGAAUUCCCGGUGUAACGGUGGAAUGUGUAGAUAUCGGGAAGAACACCAAUGGCGAAGGCAGGUCUCUGGGCCGUCACUGACGCUGAGGAGCGAAAGCGUGGGGAGCGAACAGGAUUAGAUACCCUGGUAGUCCAAGGGCGAAUUC